ensembl:snRNA U6 U6 spliceosomal RNA
GUGCUCUGGUAGUACAUGUCCUAAGAUUGGAACAAUACAGAGAAGAUUAACAUGGUCCUUGUGCAACAAUGACAUGUAAAUUUUUGAAGCAUUCCAUAUUUUA